ACAAGGUUUCCGUAGGUGAACCUGCGGAAGGAUCAUUACCGAGAGUGCCCCUUCGGGGGCGACCUCCCACCCGUGUAUUACCUACCGAUGUUGCUUUGGCGGGCGGCUUGCUCCGGCUUGCCACACGCCCGUCAGAGGCCCUGUAAAUCUUUGUCCACUGAAGUCUCGAGUGAAAACCGUAAAUUCAAAAACUUUCAACAACGGAUCUCUUGGUUCCGGCAUCGAUGAAGAACGCAGCGAAAUGCGAUAAGUAAUGUGAAUUGCAGAAUUCAGUGAAUCAUCGAAUCUUUGAACGCACAUUGCGCCCUUUGGUAUUCCGAGGGGCAUGCCUGUCCGAGCGUCAUUGCACCACUCAAGCUCCGCUUGGUAUUGGGACUCGCCAUCGCUCCCCCGGCGGCGGCCCUGAAAAGCAGUGGCGGUCCGGCGAGACUCUAAGCGUAGUAGAUUAAAUUUCCCCGCUUUGGACGAUUGAGCCGUGACCCGCCAAUGUCAACCGCGCUUCCUUCGCGCUCUCUAAUGGUUGACCUCGGAUCAGGUAGGGAUACCCGCUGAACUUAA
rnacentral:rRNA from 1 species